CUACGGGGGGCUGCAGUGGGGAAUAUUGGACAAUGGGGGGAACCCUGAUCCAGCCAUGCCGCGUGAAUGAUGAAGGCCUUCGGGUUGUAAAAUUCUUUUGGUGGGGAAGAUGAUGACGGUACCCACAGAAUAAGCUCCGGCUAACUUCGUGCCAGCAGCCGCGGUAAUACGAAGGGAGCUAGCGUUGUUCGGAAUUACUGGGCGUAAAGGGCGCGUAGGCGGUAAGAACAGUCAGGUGUGAAAUCCCAGGGCUCAACCCUGGAACUGCGCUUGAUACUUUCUUGCUAGAAUUCGGUAGAGGUGAGUGGAAUUCCCAGUGUAGAGGUGAAAUUCGUAGAGAUUGGGAAGAACACCAGUGGCGAAGGCGGCUCACUGGACCGACAUUGACGCUGAGGCGCGAAAGCGUGGGGAGCAAACAGGAUUAGAUACCCCUGUAGUC
rnacentral:rRNA from 1 species